CCUUGGAAGGUUAGAACAUCAAUAACGAUGAGAUAAAACCGAAUAAAAAGAGAAGAGUCUGGAAGCUUGAAAUUUUGAAUGCUCCUAUAUCUACCAAACAAGUGAAAUUUCCAUCCAAACAUGGCAAGUAAACAAGUCAAAACAUCAGCAGUCACUCUGAACCGAAAGCAAAGUCCUACGCAAUUACGAAACGUUUCUCAGUUCGAGAACAUACUGCCCUGCCUAAGCAGAUUUUGUUUAAAUAGCCCACCCACUUUCCCUACACGUCACUCAGCAUCUGACUUCAGAGUGAACCACAUCCUCAGCUCUACAUUAAGUGCCAUUUGGAAUCAUGGAAAACUGUACAAUCCCAAUCUGCUCUACAAGGCGGGGCCCCAUUCCAACACCCCGAAUCCUCGUUCUCUCUGGGGUGACUUAACCUUCCUGAAUCAAAUCACUUUGAUGGGGAUGAAUCCCUUGAUCAUUGCCUGAAAACUCGAGCUUAGCUAGCAACCUCGGUUCUUGCAAACAUUUAAGCCAUCCUAAAGUGGACAACAUGGCUUAUGGAUUGGGCUUACUGUCUCCGGGCUAGCCAGGUACCCCAUAAUGGUUAGGGUAUCUUUCAAAUGGGGGCUUCAUCCAACUGCGCAAAACGAGGUUUUGUGAUUGCCUAUGAGAAAGCACCAGCUUCCAAGAAAAAGACGUCGACUAUGUUCUAAAGUAGGGGAAAUUGGGCCUUGUCAAUGUCAUGAACUGUUGCUCAGUUUUAGUUGGCAUUCUAGUAGGCUCAUAGUACCUGAAAUCCAACAACUAUGGUAUAGUGAGGAAAAGUAAAGCCUCUACCCACAGCCUGUGAGUGACAAUAGGAAUCCAGGAAGAGAAGUUUUUCAAGAAUCUUGGAAUGAACAACAACCGUCACAGAACA